rnacentral:rRNA from 1 species
UUUUAAGCUAAGUUUUAUACAUCUACARAUAAAAACAAAGUUUUAAGUUUUCAGUUAUAUGGUAUAACAAACAAUUUUGUUAGAUAAAAUGUAAAAUAAAUAAACAAAACCGGGGUAGAAUCCGAGUAUGUGAACAAGUUAUAGGUAAUAAAAACAAACCUAAAUUGUGUGGCAGUUAUUUAUUCUUUUUAGAGAAUUUUGGUUAAUAAUUUGAUAACCCACAAUUUUAUUUACUAAAUUUUGGCUUAUGUGUGGUUGUUAAGAAAUAAAAUUAUUUUUAAAUCUUYCCCAAAUGACAUGUAGUUUAAUAUAGGAAAAACUGAAAUGCCGUAUCUUAAAUUUAAAAAAUAASAGUAUUUAAUAGUAGGAAAAAGUUUUCGAAUAAGUUAUAAAUAAGGUUCAUAUUGUCCGUCACUCUCUUUA